UGCUUAAUACAUGCAAGUCGUGCGAGAAAGUUACCUUCGGGUAGCAAGUAGAGCGGCGAACGGGUGAGUAACACGUAAGCAACCUACCUCUAAAUCUGGGAUAACCUUGCCAACGCAGGGCUAAUACCGGAUGUGGUUUCAGAACCUCAUGGUUUUAAGAUUAAAGAUGACCUCUACUUGUAAGUUAUUGUUUAGAGAUGGACUUGCGUACCAUUAGUUUGUUGGUGGGGUAAUGGCCUACCAAGACUACGAUGGUUAGCCGACCUGAGAGGGUGAUCGGCCACAUUGGGACUGAGAUACGGCCCAGACUCCUACGGGAGGCAGCAGUAGGGAAUCUUGCGCAAUGGACGAAAGUCUGACGCAGCAACUCCGCGUGAAGGAUGACGGCCUUAGGGUUGUAAACUUCUGUUGAAUGGGAAGAAUGACUUUUGUGCUAAUCAGCAAGAGUGUUGACGGUACCUGUCAAGAAAGCUCCGGCUAACUACGUGCCAGCAGCCGCGGUAAUACGUAGGGAGCAAGCGUUGUUCGGAAUCACUGGGCGUAAAGAGAGCGUAGGCGGAAGAAUAAGUUAGAAGUGAAAUGUACCGGCUCAACCGGUAACCUGCUUUUAAUACUGUUUUUCUUGAGUAUCGGAGAGGUAGAUGGAAUUCCAGGUGUAGCGGUGGAAUGCGUAGAUAUCUGGAAGAACACCAGUUGCGAAGGCGGUCUACUGGCCGAAUACUGACGCUGAGGCUCGAAAGCUAGGGGAGCGAACAGGAUUAGAUACCCUGGUAGUCCUAGCCGUAAACGAUGGAUACUAGAUGCUGGGGAUGUUAUGUUUUCAGUGUCGAAGCUAACGCAUUAAGUAUCCCGCCUGGGGAGUACGCUCGCAAGAGUGAAACUCAAAGGAAUUGACGGGGGCCCGCACAAGCGGUGGAGCAUGUGCUUUAAUUCGAUGCAACGCGAAGAACCUUACCUGGUCUUGACAUGGGAGUGAAAGUCUUUAGAGAUAGAGGCCUUUCCCUCGGGAACACUCUACACAGGUGCUGCAUGGUUGUCGUCAGCUCGUGUCGUGAGAUGUUGGGUUAAGUCCCGCAACGAGCGCAACCCCUGUCCUUAGUUGCCAUCAGGUAAUGCUGGGAACUCUAAGGAGACUGCCUGGAUUAACCAGGAGGAAGGUGGGGAUGACGUCAAAUCCUCAUGGCCCUUACGACCAGGGCUA
rnacentral:rRNA from 1 species